UGUGCAAUGAUGAGAUGAAAACACUUAGUGUUUUUGGGCAGUGGACGUGAUCUAUAAGGUUGCGCCGUGAGCCUGUUUUAUAACGACUUCUCCUUCCACUGAGCACU